GUCUCCACUUCUGGCGUGGAAAGGUGGGUUUAAUUCCCUCACCAAGCGCACCCUUUUUCUUUUUUUGUAACCCGUUAUGGCGGGGACUCUAAGGAGACCGCCGGUGACAAACCGGAGGAAGGUGGGGAUGACGUCAAGUCAUCAUGGCCCUUACGAGCAGGGCUACACACGUGCUACAAUGGUCGGUACAAAAGGUAGCUAACUCGCGAGAUGGAGCAAAUCCCCUAAAGCCGAUCGUAGUCCGGAUUGGAGUCUGCAACUCCACUCCAUGAAGCUGGAAUCGCUAGUAAUCGUGGAUCAGAACGCCGCGGUGAAUACGUUCUCGGGUCUUGUACACACCG
rnacentral:rRNA from 1 species